GUUCUCUCUCACUUUACUUCACAAAAAUCGCUCUCCCUAUCUCACGAUUUUUUCUCUCUCGCUCUCAAUCGCUAUCCUUCCAUCUCGCUCACACUAAACCCCUCUCUCAAUCGCUGCUCUCUCACUUCGUUCCCAAUCUCCCACAUCUCACUCAAUCAUGUAAGAAAACAAUGGCCGAAACAAAAAACUCACCUUCGGCGGUGAUAACGGCAACGAUGAAGCUCAAACCUUACUCCUUCGCCUCUUCAAAACAGGGUUUCAAUUGGUAUCGUGGAGUUCAAAAGGAGCAUCCUGCAAAAUCUCUUUUUUGAUGCUCAGAAUUUGGUCCAUUUCGUUUGAUACUUGGAUCUGGAACAGUGAAGAUUUCAUGAGUAACUUUGGUUCAGCCAGGCAAGCCAACGAUGAUGAAGCCAGUUCUUCCGCCUCCUUGUAGACUAUCGCCAGCCGCUUAGCAUAAUUGUUGGCCACAUGCUGCUUUUCUGUGCCAGUGACUGCAUCAUGGUGUUGAGCAAUUGCUAAAACAUCCACUAAUGGAUUUGCAUAUGGCCCUGAGUUCUGUGGAUCUUUUUUGAUCGGUUCCGUUAUAUCCAAAAUAGCAAAGAAAAUGUAAGCUUCAAAUUUCCUUGACCAAUAGAAGACUUUUUACGAAUUUGAUGCGCAUAUACAGAUGAUCUGGUGGAACCUGUUUUUGGCAGUCGAGACAGUUUUGACUCAAGGACUAGCAUCUCAAAAAUCGUUGUCUGCCGCAAUUCGUCGACAAGGUUUCCGGUGCUCUGUUGGAGUUGAAUCACCUGCAAAUGCAGCUCUUUCUUUCUAGUUGUAACAGG